rfam:Flavobacterium frigoris strain DSM 15719 genome assembly, contig: Ga0131223_103
UGUCUGUACCGAGGAACACAAAGCGCAUAAGAGGCUAGCUAAAUUGGGUAAGCAUGCACUGCAAUGCAAAGCCUUAAGACAACUGGUUUAUUUACUAGAUGCGUCGGGGAUAGACGGAAA